GAACGGGUGCCACCAACCGCGUAUCAAGGGGAAACCUGCGUUCCGUGACCGUCGCAACUUGACCACCACGCCCAAAACCCUUGCCUCUACACCGCGCAGGACGCUCAAAGACCACCACUUCAUCAUCAUCGCUUCUUCCAACGGAGAGCAUCAAUCGAUCUAGAUCGAGAUCUCAUCCUUAACACAAACAAAGCCACCACACUAAGAAUCAUCUUCAGUCCGCCGGAGAGCAUCAUCAAACGAAUCGAGAUCUCAUCCAACCAUUAACACAUAUAGAAAAAAGAAAUAAAACUGGAAGCCCUAGAAACAUUGUCUUCUUCUCACGGGACAUCCUGAGCCGACUACAACGACUUCCGCAGAGUCAAAACCACCAAACGCUUUCAUAGACAAAGGCCACAGAUGCCGACGACGCAGAGAGCCUCCGCCCCCCGGAAACAAGAGCCGGCGACAGCGAAGCUAUAUAAACCUCCACAACUUAGAAACCAAGCUAAAAGGAAAAAACGCUUUCUACUUCUCCAAAAGAGGCACAUCAAAUCAAGCAAAGGAUCCAAAAACGGACAGAGAACUCAACGCCGGACCGAUGAUAGCUGUGAAGCCCUUCCAUCGGUCGGAAACCAGAUCUCACUUUCUCUCUCUCUGCUAUGUUUUUCUCUCUCUCUCUCUAUGCGUCUAAAACGACAUAGAUUAUGCAUGUUCAACUGGAAUUUAAUAAAAUAAACAUAAGACAUAGCAUAAAAAUUAACCAAAUUCGUUCAAACAGCUUAAUUACUCAUUUAGUUCAGUAACAGAAUAAUAUCGCACAGCUUGGGUACUGAGUCACACUUCUUUUAUUGAUUAGUACUAUAUAUUUUCACACAAAUCACACUUCUUUAUUGAUUAAGUGGUCAUAACUAUCCAGUAAGUUUUGUUGAUGGCUAGUCCUAGUGGACCAGAUGUAUUUUUCUUUCUUUCUAGAUGGACAUAUUUAUUUCUUCGUUAAAUGGACCUAUUUGAAUUUGGGUGAGAUUAACUUAUUGGGAAAAUUUGCUUGACUGUGCAUUUCAAGCCGCUCUGGGCUAAAAACUGUCCUAGGUUUGGCAUAGCACAUGCACUUUGUUUGGGGCUUGCUCCAUGGCUUGCUGCAGAGAUUCCAAUUCUUGUGGACUCCGGCAUGAUUAAGCACAAAGAUGACGCAGCCUCAUCUGCUGAAUCUUAGUCUAUUUUAACCUCUCUAUCAGUCUGAGAGUUGAGGUGUUUAUCAGUAAUAGACUAAUAGCUGAACUCAGAAAUGACUCAGGUGGAUGUCUCUGCCCUAUACAACUUGAGUAUUGGAUGUUUGUUCAUACUUUGGAACUGGUUCGUGCAAUGGUGAAUUGAAAUGACACUUGUAUGUUAAUUCCAUAGUAAAAAAAAAAAGACAUAAAAAUCCAUGUCAAGAUCUGAUAAUACAGUAGACAGUGAUACAACAACUCUAUAAUUUUCCUGUCCACCAAAACUUGUCCUUCCGUAUUACUUUACAGUUUCUAUUGAUAAGCCCCCACUUCUUUCCUUGUAUUCUGUUUUUUAAGUCAGAAGUUGUAGUAUGUAACUUAUAAGGGGUUCCACAAGCCGCAGAAUCCAACUUCGCUGCAGGAUCUUUGUCUACAAGUAGUGGCGUCGACU